AUAACAACAUUCAUCAGGUAGUU
rnacentral:siRNA from 1 species